CCGAAUUCGUCGACAACAGAGUUUGAUCCUGGCUCAGGAUGAACGCUGGCGGCGUGCUUAACACAUGCAAGUCGAACGAUGAAGCCCAGCUUGCUGGGUGGAUUAGUGGCGAACGGGUGAGUAACACGUGAGUAACCUACCCUUGACUCUGGGAUAAGCCUGGGAAACUGGGUCUAAUACCGGAUAGGAACGUCCACCGCAUGGUGGUUGUUGGAAAGAUUUAUCGGUCAUGGAUGGACUCGCGGCCUAUCAGCUUGCUGGUGAGGUAAUGGCUCACCAAGGCGACGACGGGUAGCCGGCCUGAGAGGGUGACCGGCCACACUGGGACUGAGACACGGCCCAGACUCCUACGGGAGGCAGCAGUGGGGAAUAUUGCACAAUGGGCGAAAGCCUGAUGCAGCGACGCCGCGUGAGGGAUGACGGCCUUCGGGUUGUAAACCUCUUCCAGUAGGGAAGAAGCGAAAGUGACGGUACCUGCAGAAGAAGCACCGGCUAACUACGUGCCAGCAGCCGCGGUAAUACGUAGGGUGCGAGCGUUAUCCGGAAUUAUUGGGCGUAAAGAGCUCGUAGGCGGUUUGUCGCGUCUGUCGUGAAAGUCCGGGGCUUAACCCCGGAUCUGCGGUGGGUACGGGCAGACUAGAGUGCAGUAGGGGAGACUGGAAUUCCUGGUGUAGCGGUGGAAUGCGCAGAUAUCAGGAGGAACACCGAUGGCGAAGGCAGGUCUCUGGGCU
rnacentral:rRNA from 1 species